GAUCAUGGCUCAGGAUGAACGCUAGCGGCAGGCCUAACACAUGCAAGUCGAGGGGCAGCACGUCUUCGGAUGGUGGCGACCGGCGCACGGGUGCGUAACGCGUAUGCAACCUACCUCUUACAGUGGGAUAGGCCCAGAGAAAAUUUGGAUUAAUACCGCAUAGUAUACAGAUUCGAGCAUUGGGACUGUAUUAAACAUUUAUGGGUAAGAGAUGGGCAUGCGUUCUAUUAGUUAGUUGGAGUGGUAACGGCACCCCAAGACAGCGAUAGAUAGGGGCCCUGAGAGGGGGAUCCCCCCACACUGGUACUGAGACACGGACCAGACUCCUACGGGAGGCAGCAGUGAGGAAUAUUGGACAAUGGGCGAGAGCCCUGAUCCAGCCAUGCCGCGUGCAGGAAGACGGCCCUAUGGGUUGUAAACUGCUUUUGUACGGGAAGAAACACCCCCUCGUGAGGGGGCUUGACGGUACCGUAAGAAUAAGGAUCGGCUAACUCCGUG
rnacentral:rRNA from 1 species